rnacentral:rRNA from 1 species
AACGAACGCUGGCGGCAGGCUUAACACAUGCAAGUCGAGCGCCCCGCACGGGGAGCGGCAGACGGGUGAGUAACGCGUGGGAACGUACCCUUUGCUACGGAAUAGCUCCGGGAAUCUGGAAUUAAUACCGUAUGUGCCCUACGGGGGAAAGAUUUAUCGGCAAAGGAUCGGCCCGCGUUGGAUUAGAUAGUUGGUGGGGUAAUGGCUUACCAAGGCGACUAUCCAUAGCUGGUCUGAGAGGAUGAUCAGCAACAUUGGGACUGAGACACGGCCCAAACUCCUACGGGAGGCAGCAGUGGGGAAUAUUGGACAAUGGGCGCAAGCCUGAUCCAGCCAUGCCGCGUGAGUGAUGAAGGCCUUAGGGUUGUAAAGCUCUUUCACCGGAGAAGAUAAUGACGGUAUCCGGAGAAGAAGCCCCGGCUAACUUCGUGCCAGCAGCCGCCGCGGUAA